rnacentral:ribozyme from 1 species
GUUACUCAAAAUUUGCACACCGCUACGAGGUGAGCAGCAGGCAACGGUCUUAUGACUGGCUGAGAUGUGAGA